rnacentral:rRNA from 1 species
GAUGAACGCUAGCGGCAGGCUUAAUACAUGCAAGUCGUGGGGCAGCAUGGGGUAGCAAUACUCUGAUGGCGACCGGCAAACGGGUGCGGAACACGUACGCAACCUUCCCAAAACUGGUGAAUAGCCCUCCGAAAGGAGGAUUAAUACACCGUAACAUAACGAAGUGGCAUCACUUUGUUAUUAUAGCUCCGGCGGUUUUGGAUGGGCGUGCGCCUGAUUAGGUAGUUGGCGGGGUAACGGCCCACCAAGCCUACGAUCAGUAACUGGUGUGAGAGCACGACCAGUCACACGGGCACUGAGACACGGGCCCGACUCCUACGGGAGGCAGCAGUAAGGAAUAUUGGUCAAUGGACGCAAGUCUGAACCAGCCAUGCCGCGUGAAGGAUGAAGGUCCUCUGGAUUGUAAACUUCUUUUAUCUGGGACGAAAAAGGGCUUUCUAGCUCACUUGACGGUACCAGAGGAAUAAGCACCGGCUAACUCCGUGCCAGCAGCCGCGGUAAACU